GCCUGGCUGGCUCAGUCAGUAGAGCAUGUGACUCUUGAUCUCGGGGUUGUGAGUUUGACCCCCACGAUGGGUG
rnacentral:tRNA from 1 species